CUCCUGGAAACGGGUGGUAAUGCCGGAUGUUCCAGUUGAUCGCAUGGUCUUCUGGGAAAGCUUUCGCGGUAUGGGAUGGGGUCGCGUCCUAUCAGCUUGACGGCGGGGUAACGGCCCACCGUGGCUUCGACGGGUAGCCGGCCUGAGAGGGCGACCGGCCACAUUGGGACUGAGAUACGGCCCAGACUCCUACGGGAGGCAGCAGUGGGGAAUAUUGCACAAUGGGCGCAAGCCUGAUGCAGCGACGCCGCGUGAGGGAUGGAGGCCUUCGGGUUGUAAACCUCUUUUAUCGGGGAGCAAGCGUGAGUGAGUUUACCCGUUGAAUAAGCACCGGCUAAUUACGUGCCAGCAGCCGCGGUAAUACGUAGGGUGCAAGCGUUAUCCGGAAUUAUUGGGCGUAAAGGGCUCGUAGGCGGUUCGUCGCGUCCGGUGUGAAAGUCCAUCGCUUAACGGUGGAUCCGCGCCGGGUACGGGCGGGCUUGAGUGCGGUAGGGGAGACUGGAAUUCCCGGUGUAACGGUGGAAUGUGUAGAUAUCGGGAAGAACACCA
rnacentral:rRNA from 1 species